rnacentral:rRNA from 1 species
CCUACGGGGGCAGCAGUGAGGAAUAUUGGUCAAUGGACGAGAGUCUGAACCAGCCAAGUAGCGUGAAGGAUGACUGCCCUAUGGGUUGUAAACUUCUUUUAUAUGGGAAUAAAAUGUUCCACGUGUGGGAUUUUGUAUGUACCAUAUGAAUAAGGAUCGGCUAACUCCGUGCCAGCAGCCGCGGUAAUACGGAGGAUCCGAGCGUUAUCCGGAUUGAUUGGGGUUAAAGGGGGCGUAGGUGGAUUGUUAAGUCAGUUGUGAAAGUUGUCGGUUCAACCGUCAAAUUGCAGUUGAAACUGGCAGUCUUGAGUACAGUAGAGGUGGGCGGAAUUCGUGGUGUAGCGGUGAAAUGCUUAGAUAUCACGAAGAACUCCGAUUGCGAAGGCAGUUCACUGGACUGCAACUGACACUGAGGCUCGAAAGUGUGGGUAUCAAACAGGAUUAGAUACCCUAGUAGUC